CCCAGACUCCUACGGGAGGCAGCAGUGAGGAAUAUUGGUCAAUGGCCGGGAGGCUGAACCAGCCAAGUCGCGUGAGGGAAGACGGCCCUACGGGUUGUAAACCUCUUUUGCCGGGGAGCAAGGGCGGGGACGUGUCCCGGCCCGGAGAGUACCCGGAGAAAAAGCAUCGGCUAACUCCGUGCCAGCAGCCGCGGUAAUACGGAGGAUGCGAGCGUUAUCCGGAUUUAUUGGGUUUAAAGGGUGCGUAGGCGGGCUUUUAAGUCAGCGGUAAAAAUGCGGUGCUCAACGCCGUCGAGCCGUUGAAACUGGCGUUCUUGAGUGGGCGAGAAGUAUGCGGAAUGCGUGGUGUAGCGGUGAAAUGCAUAGAUAUCACGCAGAACUCCGAUUGCGAAGGCAGCAUACCGGCGCCCUACUGGCGCUGAGGCACGAAAGCGUGGGUAUCGAACAGGAUUAGAUACCCUUGUAG
rnacentral:rRNA from 1 species